GCAUCGCAAUGAUCAGGGAUUGCUCUACAAAAGGCUGAAACACCACCGUUACUACCACGGCCACAACGACCACCACCGUCGAGAAAAAUGAUCAGAUGCUAGAUUCCACCAUCGAAGCAGAGCCCAUAGUAGAGGAGCUCGUACAAGUGGAGAUCAAGGACACUAUUGUGGCAGAACUACCGGAGGUUCCAGUCGAUGUCUUUCUUUUCGUUCGAUGAAGCAGAAGAGUUUUCGCCGUCUUCACUCUUCUCGGGGGAUCAAGGUCAAAGCAAGAGGUCAAUGAAGAGGAGGCCUCUCUCUUUGAUGUUUUGUGGCUGCUCUUGGCAAGCGUGGUCUUUGUUCCCGUUUUUCAAAAGGUUCCUGGAGGAAGUCCUGUCCUAGGGUAUUUGGCCGCUGGGGUGCUAAUUGGUCCGCACUCGCUCCAUCUAAUCCGAAAUGUACACAGAACCAAAGCUAUUGCUGAA